rnacentral:rRNA from 1 species
AACGAACGCUGGCGGCAUGCCUAACACAUGCAAGUCGAACGAGACCGUCGGGUCUCGUGGCGCACGGGUGCGUAACGCGUGGGAAACUGCGCUUAGGAUCGGAAUAACUCCUCGCAAGGGGUGCUAAUUCAGGCUGAGGUACUCGGACCAAUGGUUUAUCGCCUUUGGGUGGGCCGGCGUUGGUUUAGCGCGUUGGUAGGGUAAAAGCCUACCAAGGCGACGCGUCUUAGCUGGUCAGUGAGGUUGAGCAGCGACACUGAGGCUGAGACGAGGCAGAGACGCCGACGAGAAGCAGCAGGGGGGAAUAUUGGACAAUGGGCGAAGGGCGGAUGCAGCAAGGCUGCGUGAGGGAUGAAGGUCUUAGGGUUGUAAAGCUCUUUUACCCGGGAGGAUAAUGACGGUACCGGUAGAAUAAGCACCGGCUAACUCCGUG